AGAGUUUGAUUCUGGCUCAGAACGGACGCUGGCGGCGUGGCUAAGACAUGCAAGUCGAACGGACUGUCCAAUUUAUUGAACAGUUAGUGGCGUAAGGGUUAGUAACGGAUAGGUAACGUACCCUGUGCUUUGGGAUAGCGUCAUCCCGAUUUCGGUCGGGAUUUCCGAAAGGGGCGGUAAUACCAGAUAAUAUCAUUUGUCGAUAGGCGAAUGAUCAAAGAUUUAUCGGCGCAGGAGCGGCCUGUCUCCUAUCAGCUUGUUGGUGAGGUAACGGCUCACCAAGGCAACGACGGGUAGCGGGACUGAGAGGUUGACCCGCAACAUCGGGACUGAGACACUGCCCGGACCUCCACGGAGGGCUGCAGUAACGGAUAUUGUGCAAUGGGCGAAAGCCUGACACAGCGACGCCGCGUGUAGGAGGAAGUCUUUCGGGAUGUAAACUACUGUCAGGGGGAAGAAAGUGCGCUCCGGCGUAUUGAUCUAACCCAGAGGAAGUCACGGCUAACUUCGUGCCAGCAGCCGCGGUAAGACGAAGGUGGCAAGCGUUGUUCGGUAUUACUGGGCUUAAAGCGUGUGUAGGCGGAAAUGUAAGCGUUGCGUGAAAGCCCCCGGCUUAACCGGGGAAUUGCGCAACGAACUGCGUUUCUUGAGGCAAGUAGGGGUGCAUGGAACUCUUGGUGGAGCGGUGGAAUGCGUAGAUAUCAAGAGGAACGCCAGUGGAGAAAUCGGUGCACUGGGCUUGUUCUGACGCUGAGACACGAAAGCGUGGGGAGCGAACGGGAUUAGAUACCCCGGUAGUCCACGCCGUAA
rnacentral:rRNA from 1 species